UGAUAUGAAGGCUUAUAUAAUUCCAAAUGAAAGGGGGAGCUUUAACUCCAAAAUUUAUUGUUUCACACCUUUCAAGCUUGGAUAAAUUAAAUAACCAGACACUUGAAUUCAUUUAAAGAUCUUAUUUCCUUGUUUAUUGAGCAAUUCACUUUACAUAUACUCAAUGUUUUGUCAUCAUCAAAAAGGAGGAGAUUGUGGAGUGAUUGAUUAAAACUCUAUUUGAUUUUGAUGAGCUCAAAGCAUUUGAGUAUAUCUUUUGUUACUAAUGAAUUCAA
rnacentral:lncRNA from 1 species